AAAUAUUUUUUAUUAAUUUUUUUUAAAUAUUUUAAAAGUCAAGAAAAUAUGAAAAAGUAAUUGAUAAGAAAUUAUUUUUUAAAAAAUAAAUGAAGGUUAAUUAAUUGUACAUUUGUCACACCAAUUAUUGCACAAAAUUAGGCAAGCAAGUGCACUAACAGGUUGCUUUCGAUGGUAGCCACACAUAAAGGAGUUUACGAAUAAAUAUAGGCAGAAUUUUUCCUUUCAAAUGACCUUAGAAAAAAAAAAAAAAAAUA
rnacentral:misc_RNA from 1 species